GGGCGCUUGGCUCAGCUAGUAGAGCACCCUGUUUACACCGUGGAUGUCAGAGGUUCGAAUCCUCUAGCGCCCA
rnacentral:tRNA from 1 species